rnacentral:rRNA from 1 species
ACGCUCGACACCUACGGGAGGCAGCAGUCGGGAAUAUUGCGCAAUGGAGGAAACUCUGACGCAGUGACGCCGCGUGCAGGAAGAAGGCUUUCGGAUUGUAAACUGCUUUAGACAGGGAAGAAAGAAAUGACAGUACCUGUAGAAUAAGCUCCGGCUAACUACGUACCAGCAGCCGCGGUAAUCUGAGCGGGCUGGCAAGGC